GGACUCGCCCCCGCCCCUGCCGCGGAGUGGAACGUUUGGAACCCUGAGGGGCACAGGUGAUUCAUGAUCUCCAUAAAAAUGAAGACCCAGAACUGGACCCUGGGGUAGCACCAUCCUCUAGCAAUUCCGAUGUGAAAAGAAGAUGGAUGGAGAAGCACUGAUUCAGCCAUGGCUGACAUGUCGGAGUUGGAAUGGACAGUGCCCGGACCUCACAGUCUCAGAGAACUGGAGAAGAGUAAAGCUGAAGAGGGCAUCAUCUGGUUACAAAUGACAAGUCCAGGGCUCCAGGUG
rnacentral:lncRNA from 1 species